rnacentral:rRNA from 1 species
AUUGAACGCUGGCGGCAGGCCUAACACAUGCAAGUCGAACGAGUGGCGGACGGGUGAGUAAUGUCUGGGACACUGCCCGAUGGAUGGGGAUACCUACUGGAAACGGUAGCUAAUACCGCAUACCAUCGGAUGUGCCCAGGUGGGAUUAGCUAGUCGGUGGGGUAACGGCUCACCUAGGCGACGAUCCCUAGCUGGUCUGAGAGGAUGAUCAGCCAAACUGGAACUGAGACACGGUCCAGACUCCUACGGGAGGCAGCAGUGGGGAAUAUUGCACAAUGGGCGAAAGCCUGAUGAAGCCAUGCAGCGUGUAUGAAGAAGGCCUUCGGGUUGUAAAGUACUUUCAGCGGGGAGGCGUUACCCGAAGAAGAAGCAACGGCUAACUACGUGCCAGCAGCCGCGGUAAUAC